rnacentral:SRP_RNA from 1 species
GGAGGCUGGCGGGCGGACGAGGCCCUCGCCAACCCGGCCAGGUCCGGAAGGAAGCAACCGUAACGAGCCGGCCUCGGGUCGUUCGUCCAGUCUCCCGC